GGAGCCCUAAUGGAGAUUCAAUUUUAGCACAUGGUUACGGUGGGUCUUUUCAUCUCUGGAAAAAUGUUGGUAUUGGUUCAGAUAACUGGAAACCUCAAAAGGUUCCCUCAGGACAUUUUGCUGCUGUCAUGGAUAUUUCAUGGGCUAGAUCUGGUGAUUAUAUUAUUUCAGUCAGCCAUGACCAGACAACUCGGAUUUUUG
rnacentral:misc_RNA from 1 species